rnacentral:lncRNA from 1 species
UUCUGGUUCGGUAGUCAAUGUACAAAAUCAUCAUGCUUUGUCGUACUGCGUCAGCUCUCUCACACGAUGUCCAGAAAUCUGCGAUUGCCAACCCUGUAAUUAGUAAGAUCCAACCUCAAACGAUAUCAAAAAUAUUCAAGAAGAUGAUUUGAUGAAGAAACCGAAACACGAGAAUGCUGGGACUGCACAGAACAGGAAAAGGAAAAAUGCAAUCUCUCAGAAGCGUAGGGAACCUGGUGUUUCAGGGUAAUUCUGGGCUGGAACUCUCGACUUAAACCCAGUAUCGUUUUCAAUAUCAGCAAUCUCUUGUGAAAUCCUUUUUCCUGCGCAUGAACCAAAUGACCCCUCCCUUAAGUAAAUUCGUAUAAGUUUUUAGUGGGAAAGUUUUAGCCCCUUCAGUUGCAGCUGUUCAGACUCUAGCUACUGAGAUGUCAAACUAGUCGGUCAGACGUUUUGAUGGAAUCAAACACCAUAAGCAUAAAUAGCACAGCUACCGAUAUAGCACAGCAUGAUGAUGAGUGCAAACUGAGGGAAUGAGUACUCAGCAAGAUACUACAGAUUACUGAGAUUGGAUUGACCGAACGAUCAAGGUUGAUCUAGAUGAAGUAGAUCUUGUAUUUCAAUGAUAUAUCUCUCUCAUACAGUGACUUUGCCAGUCAACGUUAUGUUAUACUAGUGGAUGAUACAGUUUACUCGUAUUGAUAGUGAUUGAUCGAAUUGACCAGUUCAUAUAUACAAGAUAUAAGAAAAUGUUUGGAGCAAAUGACUAGGCACUCGCUAAAUCAAGUAACCUAGCUACUCGGGACAAAGAAAACCAAAUUUGCAUAAAGUUCAAGCGUGAUUGCAACGCAUAUUGUUGAUUUGAUGUAACUAAGUCGUGAUUUAAAUUAGGGAAAAAUGACAUUAUCAAUCCUUGAACUUUAAUCUAAUGUGCAACGUCAUUCUUGAAUUUUCAAUUUGUUCAAUAUAAUUCUUAAACUAUUCUUAAAUGUUCGAUCUAGUCACUAGACUUUCAAUUGGUUUAAUCUAUUCCUUGGACUCAAUAACAGAAUCAAAUCAGUUCUUUGGUACUUAUUCACAAGUAUUACACUUACACUUUUAUCCAAAUGCUAGAAUAUUUUUUUCGUUUCGGUCCAUUUCCUAAAUCAAUAUCUGUAUUGCUUUUUUUUAGUCUUUAUAAGUAUUAUGAGAUGUCCAUUUACGUAUAUUAGCUUACGAUCUCUAUAAUAGCAAAAGUAGGCCGCAUUAGAAUUAUAUUGAGUUGAUAGUCGUGCUAUUUUAGGAAGGGUUAAGACUACUAAAAAUCCUAAACUAGUACUCAUGAUACUUUUAUCCUAAACUAAUUUUCAUCUCACCAAAAUUCUUAACCUAUAUCCCCAUGACUCAUUUACCUCAUGGUAAUUUUUGUCUCACAAAAAAUCUCAAGUUGAUACCUUUGACCCAAAUCUAUAUUACAUGUCAACCCUAGAUCAAUUCUAGUAUUUUUUAAAAAAUAAAAUAAAAUUGGUAAUAGAACAUAGUAUAAUUUCUGUUGAUUUAGGAAAUAGAUUGAAAUGAAACGAUAUUCCAAGAUUUGGGCAACAGUGUAAUUAUGAAAGUUUGUGAAUAGUAUAAGGGACUGAUUUGAGCUUGUUGUGGAAAUUUUAGGGAUUAGAUUGAAUGAAUUGAAAGUUUAUAGACUACAUUGAACAUUUAAAAAUAAUUCGAGGACCAUAGUCAAACAAAUUAAAAGAUAAAAAAAAUGACAUGAUAUGUUAGGUCAAAAUUUAAGGGUUAUUAGUGUCAUUUUCCUUUAAAUUUUAAGGAAAGAGAAGUGACAGCCGUGUUGAGCAAGCCUAUAAUAGGUAGCAACAAAAGAGUUUUCUUUUUUCUUUUUUCUUUUUUUGGUAAAGAGCAAUAUUUGGCUCAUAUGUAGUCAACAAGUAUAACCUAAUUCUUUUUGCUCUGACACUAAUGACCUAUUUGAUAACAUGCCAAAUAAUGCUUGAUUAUAUUCUUUCGUUUCCCGUAGCAAAAAAGGAACAAAAAUCCAUUUGAUAACUUUUUUGUUCUCGAAACAAAUUUGUUCCUAAGAAUAGAUUUGAAAUAGAAUUAAGAAUUAGAAAACAAAUUAAUUCUUUGUUCUCAGGAUCAACUCCAGAAUCAAGUCAUUUUCUUUUCUUUCUUUUUUUUCUCUUUUCUUUUCUUCUUUUCAUUUUCUUUUUCUUCUUCCUCUAGCCAAUUGCUGGUUAUGGCAAUGGCAGGUGACCAACUAGGCAAGAUCCUGAUGAGCUCAUCAAAGCCUCGCUAAGCCAGGGUGAGGACCUAGCAAGCUCGUUGGAGCCUCACCCUAGCCCAGCGAGGCCAAGCCUUGAGGUGCUUGGGCAAGGCCGAGCCUAGCCUAGAUCUUGCAAGGCCAACCUCGCACUGGCUGGGCAAGAUUGAGCCUUGCCAGUGGCCUAAGGAGGCUCCGUUGACUAGCUAGAGGAAGAAGAAGAGGAGAAGGAAAAAGGAAAAAAGAAAAAAAAUAUAUAAUAAAAUUAUUUAAAAAUUUUAAAAAUUCUUAUUCACAAAAAAAAAAAAUUGAGAUCUUAUUGAAUGCAUUUAUAUACUAGGAAUAAAAAUUUUAAACAGUUGCCAAACGCUUUCAAAUGUUCAGAAUCUCGUCCAGAGAACAAAAUUAAAAAAAAAAAUCAUUUAUAGGCAGAAAUUAUUACUAGAAACAAAAUAUUUAGCAAAGAAGCCAUAACAGGCUAGUCUUUUUGGGCUUGCUAACUAGGGGUGAGCGGUUCCCGGUUCCGGUUCGGUUCCGUCCGGAACCUGGAACCUACCCUCGGGUACAGGUUCCUCAAUUUUUGGAACCUGGAACCUACCCGUCAGAAUCAAGAACCUGGAACCUACCCUGUCACAGGUUCCAGGGUCGGUUUCAGGUUCCACAGGUUCUUUUUUUUUUUUUUUUUUUCAUUUUCGGGCCCUCCAUUUUCAAUACCUGUCAAUAAAGAGGAGCAAUUCCAGAACACGCCAUAAACAACUAAAUUCAUAGUGGGGGUGCGACAUGCACAGGAGCAAUUCUAGAACACGCCAUGACAUACACAUCCAGCACUCCAUUCACAAACGAGGUAACACAAAGAUCAAAUUCUCUAUGCCCUUGCACAAACCGACACAAAUUGUACAUCCUAAUCGAAAUAAGCAAAAGCAAACGAUAGCUUGAUCUUCGCACGUGACGAACGCGUGCUCGACUCAGUCCGAUUCUCGAAAAUCACUCACUCACACGUACACACGGAAACCCUAAACUACCGGCUGAGGAACAGAAAAACCGUCAAAGCCGCGAACAGGCAAAGGAGAGGAGGUCGAGGCGAAACCAACCUCCGAGACGAAGAAGAGCUCGCCGCCGCCGCCUCCUGCUUCUCCUCCUUCAGCUUCGCCGCCGAUCGCAGCCCGUAGCAGAGCAGCUUCGUUGGGGCGGAGGCGAAGGGGUGUGGAGUUAAGGUUGAUUGGGCGGCUGGGCGAGUAGCGAGCUGCGUCGGGGGGCUGGCGAGCGAGUAGCCUCCACCUGGGGGACGAGCGGCGUCGACGGCAAGCGGCUGAGCGGUGAGGCGAGCGAGGGGUGACGCAUCCAGCGGCGGUGUCGAGGGAGGUCCGGCGACGAAGACAAGAGUCUCACGGCACCAACGGUGGCACGGACGGCGCGGCGAAGACGGCGGCAGUCGCGGCUCAACCCACGGCUAAGGGGGGAAGAGCUCGGUUCUAGCGGUGGCGGUUCGGAGCAACGACGGCCCGAACGGCCGAGCGAGCGGCGGCAAGAGGUGGUGACGGUGGCUUGGGGACGGCGGCGGCGACUCACGGCGGCGAGGGGCGACGCGAUAGCUUGUCGGGCUCAACGGCGAGACGGUUCGUCGGACGAGCGGUGGGUGGUGGUGGUUCAGUGGCCAAGAGAUGGUGGUGAGUAGGGCGUGGGGCGGCGAUGUGGUGGUGGGUGAAGCGGCGAGGGGCGGCGAAGAAGAAGAAGAAGAAGAGGAGAAGAAGGGGUGAAGCGGCGAGGGGCGGCGAAGAAGAAGAAGAAGGGGAGAAGAAGGGGUGGGUUUCGGCCGAGAGAGGGGGAAAGAGGAGAGAGAAGAAAAGAAAAAGG